rnacentral:rRNA from 1 species
CCUACGGGGGGCAGCAGUGGGGGAUAUUGGACAAUGGGGGAAACCCUGAUCCAGCGACGCCGCGUGAGUGAAGAAGUAUUUCGGUAUGUAAAGCUCUAUCAGCAGGGAAGAAAGAAAUGACGGUACCUGAGUAAGAAGCCCCGGCUAACUACGUGCCAGCAGCCGCGGUAAUACGUAGGGGGCAAGCGUUAUCCGGAAUUACUGGGGGUAAAGGGAGCGUAGACGGUAAUGCAAGUCUGGAGUGAAAGGCGGGGGCCCAACCCCCGGACUGCUCUGGAAACUGUGUAACUGGAGUGCAGGAGAGGCAGGCGGAAUGCCUAGUGUAGCGGUGAAAUGCGUAGAUAUUAGGAGGAAAACCAGUGGCGAAGGCGGCCGGCUGGACUGUAACUGACGUUGAGGCUCGAAAGCGUGGGGAGCAACAGGAUUAGAUACCCUAGUAGUC